AUAUUCCUUGUUCCGACACCCCGGAAGUGUUUUCAGUGAUCGAAGUAUGGCGUCUGCAAGCUUACCAGCUCGAAGUAAUAGGGAUGAUUCCAUCAGGAGGACUAAACAGCAGACUGCCCAGGAAACUUUAAUGUCAAUGGGAUUUCCCAGGAAAAGAGCAGAAAAGGCGAUUGCAGCUACUGGAGAUCGGGGAAUUCAACUAGCUUCAGACUGGCUACUGUCUCAUGUAGAUGAUCCAACAUUGGAUGAUAGAACCUGUAGGGAAUAUAUACUUUACCUCUGUCCGAAUGGUAAACUACAGGAUGAACUUAACAAAUUCUGGGAGAAAAGCAUGUCUCAGUGUGGAUGGAAUGGAGCCCACUCCUACUUCCCACACAUCACAAUGUGCCCAUUCUUUGCUGCUGAAGAUAAGGAUGUAGGAUUUCUAAGCGAGACAUUUUUGAAGUUAGAAAACAAACUCAGACAGGCUCCAGACGCUUUGAAAUUGGAUUUCUUCAGUCAGAUGAAUUUCAUUGGUCUGUUUGUGAAGGAAGGCAUGUAUGACUUCCUACAGGAUUGUGUUUCCAUAUUUUGCAGAGAAUUAAGCAAGCAAGGGAUAAAGUUAGAACCUCACAAGAAGCAGCUUCACCUGACUCUAGCUUACCAGUAUCCACAGGAACAGCAUGACAAGCUUCUGAAGUAUGCCAAAGAAAUUGAUCUGACUGUUGACGUACGAUGGGACCUCCGCCUGUACUCCAGAGAUCCAAGGGCAAGCAAAAGCGAGGUUAAUAUCGAACCAUUGUAGUUUGUUCAUUUACAUCUGGAUCAAGAUUCAAAAUUGUUUUAAAAUAGUUGUUAGAAGGAUGUUAAUCUUAAAUUCAUUCAAAAUUAUUUCCUGAAUAUCGAUCACCAAAUAGGACUUGUACCAGGUUUGUUCUAAGUAAAAAAAAAAUGUACACAGUUUUUGCUUUUAAAAUGUAUAUACAUAUGUGGAACCUUCGUUCAGAUAUUACAUACAUUUUUAGGAAAUGCCUUAUAGACAAAUAUUAAAUUUUCAUACAUUUCCUUGAAAUAGCUUAAAAAAAAAUAUUUUAGUCAACUUAGUUGUUUAUUGAUUUUGUUUUAUAAUUCUUAAGGAAACAUAUUUCUAUAUUUAGUAGGAAACAUUAGAACUGUUUUUAGAUCAAAGAUGUUUCUGUGAUCAAUAAUGAAAAGGUUGAAUUAUAUACUAUAUAUCUGGUUAUUUUCGUAAUAGUCUAAUUUUUGCUUUUUUGCAAAAUUUCUUUCACUUUCACAUAAAAAAAUACAACACACUGAAAUUAUAUUCAAUACUGUUUGAUAUUAUGAAAUUUUUAAAUUGCUAAUAGAUUUGAUAUUUAC
rnacentral:misc_RNA from 1 species